rnacentral:rRNA from 1 species
CAAUAGCGUAUAUUUAAGUUGCUGCAGUUAAAAAGCUCGUAGUUGGAUUUCGGGUGGGAAUGGCCGGUCCGCCGUUUCGGUGUGCACUUGCUACGCCCACCUUGCUGCUGGGGACGUGCUCUUGAGUUCACGCUCGGGACACGGAGUCGGCGAGGUUACUUUGAGUAAAUUAGAGUGUUCAAAGCAGGCCUACGCUCUGAAUACAUUAGCAUGGAAUAACACGAUAGGACUCUGGCCUAUCUUGUUGGUCUGUAGGACCGGAGUAAUGAUCAAGAGGGACAGUCGGGGGCAUUCGUAUUUCAUUGUCAGAGGUGAAAUUCUUGGAUUUAUGAAAGACGAACUACUGCGAAAGCAUUUGCCAAGGAUGUUUUCAUUAA